AUUGAACGCUGGCGGCAGGCUCAACACAUGCAAGUCGAACGAGUGGCGGACGGGUGAGUAAUGCUUGGGAAUCUAGCUUAUGGAGGGGGAUAACUACGGGAAACUGUAGCUAAUACCGCGUACCAUAGGAUGAGCCCAAGUGGGAUUAGGUAGUUGGUGAGGUAAAGGCUAACCAAGCCGACGAUCACUAGCUGGUCUGAGAGGAUGACCAACCACACUGGGACUGAGACCAGGCACAGACUCAAACGGGAGACAGAAGUGGGGAAGAAUGCGCAAUGGGGGCAACCUGACGAAGCCAUGCCGCGUGAAUGAAGAAGGCCUUCGGGUUGUAAAGUUCUUUCGGUAGCGAGGCGUUAUCUACAGAAGAAGCACCGGCUAACUCCGUGCCAGGAGCAGCGGUAAUUC
rnacentral:rRNA from 1 species